rnacentral:tRNA from 1 species
GGCGCGGUGGGGAAGAGGUAUCCCGCCAGGCUCAUAACCUGGAGGUCGGUGGUUCAAAUCCAUCCCGCGCAA